rnacentral:lncRNA from 1 species
UAUAUACCGUUAAGCAAGCGAACUAAACACUUAUCAAUUGUAAACCCUUAUUAACUUCAGGCGUUAAAGCCUCUCUCACCAAAGGCUUAACGUUAAGGAAGAGAAGAUGACAUUAAAGCUCACCUCGUGCUUCCAUCAAAUGAAGCACUCGGCUCCCACUUUUUUAACAUAAGACAUAAGGAAGUUCUUUCAAACGGAAGGAAGUCCCACCCUUAUGUUCAAAGUCAAACGAGUUUUUAACCAAGAAAGACAUGGGAGUUGAUCAUCAAACCAACCUAUGUAUUUAAAAAGAAAAGGAAAGAAAAAAGAUUACCCGCUAUCGUUGAAUGUUACUAUCGCUUCUCCUUUUAUUUUUCUAUUGAAU